rnacentral:rRNA from 1 species
GACGUAGGGUGCAAGCGUUGUCCGGAUUUACUGGGCGUAAAGAGCGCGUAGGCGGUCUGUUAAGUGAGAAGUGAAAUCUCCAGGGCUCAACCCGGAAACUGCUUUUCAUACUGGCAGACUUGAGGGAUGCAGAGGUUUGUGGAAUUCCUGGUGUAGCGGUGAAAUGCGUUGAUAUCAGGAGGAACACCCAUGGCGAAGGCAGCAAACUGGGCAUCAUCUGACGCUGAGGCGCGAAAGCGUGGGUAGCAAACAGG